AAUGAACGUUGGCGGUGUGCUUAACACAUGCAAAUCGAGCGAGAAAGUUUCUUCGGAAAUGAGUAGAGCGGCGAACGGGUGAGUAACGCGUGAGGAUCUCCCCUUCAGUGAAGGAUACCCUUGAGAAAUUAAGGUUAAUACUGCAUACGUUCCCUAUCAACAUAGGGAAGAAAGAUGGCCUCUUGCUGUCGCUGAAAGAUGAACUUGCGUUCUAUUAGCUAGUUGGUGGGGUAAAGGCUCACCAAGGCGAUGAUGGAUAGCCGGCCUGAGAGGGUGAACGGCCACAUUGGAACUGAGAUACGGUCCAGACUCCUACGGGAGGCAGCAGUGAGGAAUAUUGCACAAUGGGCGAAAGCCUGAUGCAGCGACACCGCGUGAAGGAUGAAGGUCUUAGGAUUGUAAACUUCUGUUAAGUGGGAAAAAAGACUUGUUUCAAAUAAAACAAGGGAUGAUGGUACCACUAGAGAAAGCACCGGCUAACUUCGUGCCAGCAGCCG
rnacentral:rRNA from 1 species